CUAAGAUGAGAGUCCCAAAGACAAAUUUCACCAACUUCAUAAUUUUGGAGGGCUGUCGAGCUAAAAAAAGCACCAAGUAAACAAAGAAAAUAGUAGCCAAUCUAAUGUAAAUCCUCCAAGGAAAUAUCUGUGAUAGGAUUAGACUUCUACUUUCUCCAAGGAAAUGCACGACCUUCUGGAAAUCAUCACAGUAAUCCAAAUGGAAGAGUCACAUGGUACAAAUUUCUGACUCCAAGUUUUGGCCUUUCACAUUUUGUCAAAUUUCCACAUUUGGGGACACCUACUCUGCAUAUGUAAAAGGGCAGAGCCAGUCCCACCGAAAUCACAAAUGAAGACCUACCUGCACAGGAGUCGUCAUGCUCCUGGUUCUCAUUGCUGACUCUGGGACUUCUAAGGCAACUGGAAGCCAGAAAAGGAUCCUUCCCUACUUGGUGGAAGCCUUAGAACUGGAGACCUUUUCAGCUUCCGUGAGCAGGAUUAAUCUUAUGGAGUGUCCUCUUCUGUCACGUAGCAAAAUGCACUUUGAUUCAUGGAUGGCUUCUUUGGGAGGUAAGAGGAGCUGUUAUAAUCUUCAACUAUUUUGGUUUCCUUUGGUCUCAUUGGAUCCUAAAUUUUUCUUUCUUGCUUAUUUUCCCCUUUAUGGCCUAUUCUCCAAAGACAGACUCGAUUUUCUUUUACUCCUCUCCGCCGGCAACAUUGUUUUUCUAAUACUGCCACUUCUCAGUCCCAUGAACUUGUGCUUCUCUUCCUUAUAGUCGCUGUCCUGAUCAACUGGUACUCUUUUACAGAUAUCCUCUUUUCUCUUCCAUACUUUUCUUCUGUACCCAGAAUUCUCA
rnacentral:lncRNA from 1 species